UGGACGCUGACCUUCCACUGUUUAAUGCACUGUGACGCUAUGGGAAUGAAUGAGAAGAAAGUUGCGUCAGUGACCUGUCAUAAGUAGUUGAUUCUGAACAAAAGUUGAACGCGUUCUAGCGCAUAUUUAGUCAAUGAAAUGUAAACACAACAGUACAUAUUUGACCACUUAUUUUUUGACAUUUUAGGGGAAGCUGAGCUUCCCUUGCAGUCUUAGAGCAAUCGCCACUGGUCUGUACAGUUGGGCAGGAAGAGGAACCACUCUGAACAUGAGCAUGGCUCUGGUUCAUCAGAGACCAGUGGUUCAUCAUGUGGUGGAUGGAGCUCCAGUGGCCUUGCGAGAGUUUUUCAUUCCACUGAACGUGUGCUGCUGGCCCCCCACGGUGGCGCGGGAGAGCGAGGGCCCGAUCACAGCUGCUUGCAGCUUUAAUUAUUAUUAGGGACCUCGGCUGAAGGGCAAUAAUGGAAAAGUAGGAGAAAAAUAAAGACAAUUUUACUGCUUAUUAUUUAGUGUGUGUUUGCUCUGCUGGGGAAGCAGGAGAAAAUGUAUGAUUCAGCUGGAUUUUAGUAAAAACUUUAAUUUUUCACUUUUUUACUUUCAACAUAUUGUACUACAGU